CUUGGUCAUUUAGAGGAAGUAAAAGUCGUAACAAGGUUUCCGUAGGUGAACCCGCGGAAGGAUCAUUCUUGUAUACCUGGUCAAGCGUAAGCUAGGCCAAACCAUGUGUGAAUCAGUGUUCUCUUCCCAGCGGAAGGUCUUGCAACCCUGGGCUCUGCCUGGGCAAGCUUGAUUGACGGCUGGGGUAUUGCCUCGCAAGAGGUGAAUCAUGUUCAAUAGCAGGGAACUCAAAAGUAACAAAUUACAACUUUUAACGAUGGAUCUCUUGGCUCUCACACCGAUGAAGAACGCAGCGAACUGCGAUAAGCAAUGCGAAACGCAGUUGUUCGUGAGUCAUCCGGUAUUCGAACGCACAUGGCAGGUCCUCGGACCUACGUCUGGUUGAGGGUCUUUAUUACUCCAUUUCUAUGGGAUGUGAGUGGGCUCUUGGCUCACUUUAAAGGCAGGGUGACUUGCACCGUAACCGUUUGGUGGACAAUCGAGCGGGCUUUGGUGGCAAGCGAUGGCUGGCAAGCAGUUAUCAAUUCAACUUUGACCUCAACUCAGACGAGACUACCCGCUGAACUUAAGCAUAUCAAUAAGCGGAGGAAAAGACACCAACAGGGAUUCCCUUAGUAACGGCGAGUGAAAAGGGAGAAGCGCAACAUGGGAAUCGGGCCGCAAGGUUCGAGUUGUAGGGUUGCAUUGCUUGCCUUGGAUGAAGCGGCGUGUAAGUCUCUUGGAAUAGAGCAGCACAGAGGGUGAUACUCCCGUAACGCGCUGCAGAGUCUGUGAUGGCAAGUAAUAGGCGAGUCGAGUUGUUUGGGAAUGCAGCUCCAACGGGUGGUAAACUCCAUCCAACGCUAAAUACUGGUGAGAGACCGAUAGCAAACAAGUACCGUGAGGGAAAGAUGAAAAGCACCUUGAAAAGGGCGUUAAAAGAAUGUGAAAUCGUUAAGGGGGAAGCGUUGCCAGCGAGUGCAGUAUAAUGCAGAUCAUGUACUCUAUUAGGGUGCUGCACUGUGUGUUGUACUGGUCCACAUCAGUUUUGGUUGCUGGAUAAUCUCUCUGGAAGGUAGCGUUCUCGGACGUGUUAAGCCAGGGAGGGCGCAGUGACUGGGACUGAGGACCGCCGUGCACGUUUGCGGGGCCUUCUAUCUCUGGGAUAUUGCCAGCUGGUGCAUCUUUGAUGAGCUAGUUGAGUAGUGUACCACCGGUGGAAGUGAUCGCCUAUGCACGAAGGAUGUGGGCGAAAUCGCUUGUAGCGACCCGUCUUGAAACACGGACC
rnacentral:rRNA from 1 species